rnacentral:rRNA from 1 species
GGGGAAUCUUGCGCAAUGGGCGAAAGCCUGACGCAGCCAUGCCGCGUGGAUGAUGAAGGUCUUAGGAUUGUAAAAUCCUUUCACCGGUGAAGAUAAUGACUGUAGCCGGAGAAGAAGCCCCGGCUAACUUCGUGCCAGCAGCCGCGGUAAUACGAAGGGGGCUAGCGUUGCUCGGAUUUACUGGGCGUAAAGGGCGCGUAGGCGGACACUUAAGUCAGGGGUGAAAUCCCGGGGCUCAACCUCGGAACUGCCUUUGAUACUGGGUGUCUUGAGUGUGAGAGAGGUGUGUGGAACUCCGAGUGUAGAGGUGAAAUUCGUAGAUAUUCGGAAGAACACCAGUGGCGAAGGCGACACACUGGCUCAUUACUGACGCUGAGGCGCGAAAGCGUGGGGAGCAAAC